CUUCAUCAAUCGGCACAACCACCACCACAACUUCUUGUCCUGUUGGUGAUACGAGUGAGCUAGCUAGCCAUGGCGGACGCUAACCCUACCCUGAUGCUCCUGACCAUCUUUCUCCUGGUGACAAGCGCCACAGCAGGUUGUAUUAGAAUUAACCUCAGCCACAGCGGCAUGCGGUGCACCCCUGGCGACGCGUGCCCGGUGAUAUGCGCCAAAAUCAAGGGCAUAGACGGCAAGUGCGAGGAUGGAGCAUGCAUGUGCACGAUCUGCGACCCUUCGUACCACCCAAGAGCAGCAACAGAUUAAUCUAAUCCGUCGCUAAAUCCGUUUCGUUUCAUCGCAUGCAUAUGUAUCAUGCAUGUUCACUGUAAUGAUAAGAGCACGUGACCCUAUCUUUGGUGAUAUGGAUCACCCACCACAAAACGGCCUAUUGGUUUUUAUCCUAAUCCAUAUAUAGAUUGGAUGAGAUUGAGAGAGUUUAAAUUCUUAACAAAUCAAAAUAUCUCUUAAUGUCUCCUAGUUCCAUCCAAUCCAUAUAGGAUGAGAAUAACCGAACAAGGUCUAACUCUGUACAGUGAUAUACAGAACACU
rnacentral:lncRNA from 7 species